rnacentral:rRNA from 1 species
CCUACGGGAGGCAGCAGUGGGGAAUAUUGCACAAUGGGCGAAAGCCUGAUGCAGCAACGCCGCGUGAGGGACGACGGCCUUCGGGUUGUAAACCUCUUUUAGUAGGGAAGAAGCGAAAGUGACGGUACCUGCAGAAAAAGCACCGGCUAACUACGUGCCAGCAGCCGCGGUAAUACGUAGGGUGCAAGCGUUAUCCGGAAUUAUUGGGCGUAAAGAGCUCGUAGGCGGUUUGUCGCGUCUGCUGUGAAAACUGGGGGCUCAACCCCCAGCCUGCAGUGGGUACGGGCAGACUAGAGUGCGGUAGGGGAGAUUGGAAUUCCUGGUGUAGCGGUGGAAUGCGCAGAUAUCAGGAGGAACACCGAUGGCGAAGGCAGAUCUCUGGGCCGUAACUGACGCUGAGGAGCGAAAGCAUGGGGAGCGAACAGGAUUAGAUACCCUGGUAGUCCAUGCCGUAAACGUUGGGAACUAGAUGUAGGGACCAUUCCACGGUUUCUGUGUCGCAGCUAACGCAUUAAGUUCCCCGCCUGGGGAGUACGGCCGCAAGGCUAAAACUCAAAGAUUAGACGG